rnacentral:lncRNA from 1 species
GAAGGACGGGGGAGGACCGCUGCUUCCGGCGCCGUAACUGCUGCCAUCUUCUCCGCGCUAUGGCUGCGUUCGGCCGUCAGCAGCCUCGUCUUACAGCGUGACUGCAAAGAAAAAGACUUUUGUUUUGCAAAAGAAAAGCAGCUCGGUGACUCCGUCCACAUCGCCACAGUUGAGUCAGAUGGCAGUGGCAGUCCUUUGCCAGUGGAAGGAGUUCCUGCUAAGGGGAGGUGCAGGAGGACUAAUUUAUUAUUGUGCAACUGCCAGUCCUGCGCAUUCCAGCUACGCUAAGCGCCCUGCCCAGGCACGUAACAAAACAUAGACCUGUUUUGAAGUGGCUUGUUACCCAAGGGUGCCUCACUCAUCUGCGCCACCAGGAAGAUGAACUGUGAGGGCUCCUAUAAGGGGCAGGAAGAGCAAAGCUGUCCUAGGCCAACCAGAGAUUCAUCUUUCAUGCAGUGACAUGUUGAUAAAAAAUGAUGGUCAGUAUGAAACUGGUAACAGGUUGUAGAUGGCUUUCUAUGGUAUAUCCCAGUCUCUUGCAAACGAUUGUGAAGAAUGCCAGUGUUGUUUAAGAUUCGGCAGUUUGUGUGGGGAGGUGGGGGCAGGAUGGGGUUUGGUUGCCAAAAGAGUUUGGGAAAUGCUGGCUUAAACAAAGGCGAGAGGAAGUUCCUUUCACGUCAGGAUUUAUGAAUGCCUAUGAGCCCAGUGUCAGUGACGACUUUCUAGCGGCGGUCUUCAACACUUUCUAAAUAUUAAGCGAUCAAGGCCCCUGCCCCACUUUUAGUUCCAACAGAAUGCCGUUCACAAGAUCUGGGAGGCACUCUCUCAGCCCUCUCCUGGAGCCCCCGGAAUUUCUCAGCAGCCCAGGCCCUCCCGCUGCCCGUGGCCCCUCCUCCCAGGUGCCAGGUGGUCUUCCAGCCUCUCCAAGGGCCCACCCCCCUGCCUCUUCCUCCCACUGCAGCUGAUCUAGGGGUUUCUUGGCCACAUUUCCCUUGAGAGAGAGUGGGAUUUGCCCUAUCCACAGAGAGCCUCAUUUCCACCUGAAGGUGUAUUUGUCAGUGGCUAGACCAGGUUCAUGUCUGUUUCCCCUUGGGGACUUCUGAACCUUCCUGCCCGGGAGUCUGUAACACAGCAGCACAGGACCGCGCUUCCUUUAGCAGUGCUGAGUAAGCAGGCAGCGGCACUCUGAGAUCCCGGGGCUGGGCAGUCGCCCCCCACUUCCCAGCAGCUCUGUGGUAGUGGGGCGGGAGCAGCAGGGACGUACCUUAAGAUUUCUCCAGUGUCUGACUCUUACUUUGUUUCCUGAAAUAAUUAGAGAAAAGUCGUUUAAUGAAAAAGAGACUGUGUACCUUGAAUUCUACAGCUACCUCAGUCCAGGCUGCCUGCUGAGAUCCUGUCUUUAGCUCACAUACAUUCCACGGUGGGGGACACCAUUAGUCCAGACACCGCUGUGGAGAUUAGCAUUUUAGUUUGUGUGCGCCCGCCUGGCUUGAGGCAGUAGUUUAGGAAUGACAAGGCUAGAAACCUGGCUGGCUGUGAGUCAGAGAGAGAGAGGAUGGACGUGGGAGAAAGCAAGCAAAAGCUACCCUAGGGAAGAGCCGGUGACGUGCACAGGCCGAGCAGCACGGCUGGUGAGCUGCAGGCUGCGGCCUUGCCCGGACACUUGGUAAUGCCAAACAAGUACGUGUGGCUACUCAUUGGUCUAUGAGGACGAUGACAGGCUUCGACUCUGUGGUUUCUAAAGCAUAUAAUAUUCUCACGUACUUCUUUCAGCAAACGCCAAACAGUAGUAAUUCUUGUAACUACCUUGAACCCUUUGUGGAAAGAACCUGGGUGUGAGUGAAUAAAAAGUAAAGAGCGACGCGCUAUAUCGGCCAUUAAAUACUCGGGGCUGUCCGUAACACCCUGUGCUUCCCAAUUGUAGCACCAUGUUCUGUGUGAAUAUGCAUAACCAGAGUGACCCCCCCCAGCACCCAGCAUGCCCGGCUGUGCCCCUCUGGGUAUGCUCACAUGCACAUAUAUGGACAUACAGUUUCGUAGCAGAACGUGGCUGCCCAGGGGCUGCCUAUCUGGGCGAGUAGACCGCCUGGCUCAGCCCACAGGCCUGCAGCAUCCCAUAGCACCCCGCCCUUGCCCCAUCACCCUGUGGGCUACAUGCAGGACACGGCAUGGGCCUGCUCCCCAGAGGCACCUGUUUGGGGUCUUCUUGAGGCUUGUGCUUUCACAGCUCUCUUUGAAGCAGAUGUCUUGGUGAACUCGGUAGACUCUUUUAUACCUGUUGUCACAAGAAAGCUUUGUAAAACCAGACAGUGAAGCAAAAUGUUGCCAACUGCUUAACCUAGGCUAUGUGAACCCACAGUAAACCUGAAGGUGUUUGAGGGAAAAACUGCUAUUUUCUGAAUGAAACGUGACCUCCUAUUGAUGUAUUAAAAUGUCUAACAUAAAGGUCAUGUGAUUUGUAAUAAAUUUAUUGUGGUACAGUAAUAUGCAUAAAAUAAACCCAUUUUAAUGUGCAUUCUGAUGAGCACUGACAAAGGAUAUGGUACUAAAAAUAAAAUGUGAAAUGUCAAAGA